GCCGGGCGUGGUGGCGGGCGCCUGUAGUCCCAGCUACUUGGGAGGCUGAGGCGGGAGAAUGGCGUGAACCCGGGAAGCGGAGCUUGCAGUGAACCGAGAUCACGCCACUGCACUCCAGCCUGGGAGACACAGCGAGACUCCAUCUCAAAAAAAAAAAAAAAAUUUGAGACGUAGUCUCACUCUGUUGCCCAGGCUGGAGUGCAGUGGCACAAUCUCGACUCACUGCAACCUCUGCCUCCUGGGUUCAAGCAAUUCUCCUGCCUCAC
rnacentral:sRNA from 1 species